UACGUAGGGUGCGAGCGUUGUUCGGAGUUACUGGGCGUAAAGCGCGUGUAGGCGGUCCGGUAAGUCCGCUGUGAAAGUCGGGGGCUCAACCCUCGGAUGCCGGUGGAUACUGUCGGGCUUGAGUACGGAAGAGGCGAGUGGAAUUCCUGGUGUAGCGGUGAAAUGCGCAGAUAUCAGGAGGAACACCGGUGGCGAAGGCGGGUCUCUGGGCCGAUACUGACGCUGAGGAGCGAAAGCGUGGGGAGCGAACAGG
rnacentral:rRNA from 1 species